AUCUUUAAAAUUAAAGAUUUUGGCGGUAUUUUAGUCUAUUCAGAGGAACCUGUUUUAUAAUUGAUAAUCCACGAUUAAUUAUACUUUAUUUUUUAAUUUGUAUAUCGUCGUAGUUUGAAUAUUUUAUAAUAUAAUAUUUUCAGAUCAAGGUGCAGUUUAUAUUAAAGUAAAAAUGGGUUACAAUAAAAAUGUAAAUUAAAUUGGAUUUGAAAGUAAGCUCUAAAAUAUGUACAUAUCGCCCGUCGCUUUCGUUAUAAAAUGAAAUAAGUCGUAACAAAGUAGGUUUAUUGGAAAAUGUACCUAGAAUGCAAAUUAGAGCUUGAUAAGUAUUUUAUUUACAUUAAAAAGUUAAUUGUGAAAUUCAAUUUAAUUUGAAUUUAAAUAUUUAUUAAAUUUAAUUAUUUAUUAAUUUUAAUUAAAAAAUUAUAAUUUUUAUUUUUUUAAAGAAAAAAUUUUAUUAUAGAUUAAAGUAUUGUGAAAGAAAAUUUUAAAAUUUAAAAAAGAAAUUUUAAAUUAUUGUACCUUGUGUAUCAGGGUUUAUCAAUUUAUAGUUCUCGAAUUUAAAAGAGUUAAUUUUAUUGUAAAAUAAAUAUUUAAAAUUAUUGAUUAGUAAUGAAACGUUAUUCGUUUUUAAAUAUAUCUAGUUUUUUAAGAAAUAAAUUUAAUUUAUUAAUUAAUAUUAAAAUAAAUAAGGGAUAAGCUUUUAAAUAAAAUUUUAAAAAAUUAUUUAUUUUAAAAAAUUAUAGGAUUAGAAUUUUUCAUUAAUAAUAGAAUGUUAUAAUUAAAGUUUUUAAGUUUUUUAUUAAAAUUUUAAUUUAAAUUAUUUAAAUUAAGUAAUAAUGAUAAAAUUAGUAAAUUAAUAUUAAGGAAUUCGGCAAAUUUAUUUUCCACCUGUUUAAUAAAAACAUGUCUUUUUGAUUAUAAUUUAAAGUUUGACCUGCCCAAUGAUUUAAUGGCCGCAGUAUUUUGACUGUGCAAAGGUAGCAUAAUCAUUAGUUUUUUAAAUGAAAGCUGGUAUGAAUGGUUUGAUGAGAAAAAAGCUGUCUCUAAAAAUUUAUUUUUAAGUUAAAAAGCUUAAAUAAGUUAAAAAGACGAGAAGACCCU
rnacentral:rRNA from 1 species